rnacentral:rRNA from 1 species
AUGUCGUCGAGGCAAGACCAGCGCGAGGCGAGGGCCGAGGCCGACGCUCGCCGCGCGGCGGACGAGAUCGCGCGCGCGCGGGACGAGCGGGUGAUGCAGGCGGAGAUGGACGCGCGACGCGCGGCGGACGAGAUCGCGCGCGCCCGCGCGGACCGCGAGCACGGCGCACUGGGCGGCGGUGCCUACGCCGAGCACCCGAGCGGCGGCGGCGGCAUCCUGGGGAGCAUGCAGGAGGGCGCCAAGUCCCUGGCCAGCGCGGUCGGCCGCACGUUCGGCGGCGCCAAGGACACCGCCGCCGACAAGACCUACCAGGCGGCGGACGCCACCGGGAACACGAUGGGCGAGUACAAGGACUACACCGCCGAGAAGGCCAAGGAGACCAACGACAGCGUCGCGCACAAGACGAGCGAGACCGCGGAGGCCACCAGGAACAAGCUCGGCGAGGCCAAGGACUGCACCGUCGAGAAGGCGACGGAGGCCAAGGACACCGUGGCGCAGAAGACGAACGAGACCGCUGAGGCUACCAAGAACAAGCUGGGAGAGUACAAGGACGCCUUGGCCGGGAAGACGCAGGAGGCCAAGGACAGCACCAUGCAGAAGGCCCACCAGACGAAGGACGCCGCCGCCGAGAAGGCGAGGCAGGCCAAGGACGUGACACAGCAGAAGGCCGGCGAGUACACGGACGCCACCAAGGGGACCGCGCAGGAAGCCAGGGACAGGUCCAUGGCGACCACGCAGACCCACGAUGCCGAUAGGGGUCAGCAAGGGACCGGUCUGUUCGGGGCGCUGGGCAACAUGACGGGCGCGAUCAAGGAGAAGCUGACGGUUGGCUCGGGCACGCAGCAGCACGACGCCGGAGGGCACGGCCUCCGGCUGGGCAGCGAGGACGAGCGCGCGGUGAAGGAGCGCGCGGCGGAGAAGGCGGCGUCCGUGUACUUCGAGGAGAAGGACCGGCUGGCCAAGGAGCGCGCGGCGGAGCGGGUGGACAAGUGCGUUGAGAAGUGCGUGGAAGGGUGCGUCGGCUCCUCCUGCGCCCACCGCAAGGGCAAGAUGUGA